rnacentral:rRNA from 1 species
GGGUUCGAUUCCGGAGAGGGAGCCUGAGAAACGGCUACCACAUCUAAGGAAGGCAGCAGGCGCGCAAAUUACCCAAUGAAAACAGUUUCGAGGUAGUGACGAGAAAUAACAAUACAGAGCAUUAAAUGUUUUGUAAUUGGAAUGGUGGGAAUCUAAAGCCCUUUCAGAGUAACAAUUGGAGGGAAAGUCUGGUGCCAGCAGCCGCGGUAAUUCCAGCUCCAAUAGCGUAUAUUUGAGUUGUUGCAGUUAAAAAGCUCGUAGUUGGAUUUCUGUGUCGGUUCCGGCUGAUGCUUUGUAUUUGAAUAUACUGGUGUUUUAUGCCGUGAGUCGGUACAUUUUCUCAGUUUUGAUAUAUUGUUAAUUUUUGGUUGUGGAUUUAACUAUCUGCAACUCGAAAGAUGGUAUAUUUAUCGCUGAGACUUUUACUUUGAGAAAAAUAGAGUGUUUCUGGCAGGCUUUUUUGCCUUGAAUACUGCAGCAUGGAGUAAUAAUUUAGGACUUUGGUUCUAUUUUGUUGGUUUCUAGGACUAGAGUAAUGAUUAAUAGGGACAGUUGGGGGCAUUCGUAUUUUACGGUCAGAGGUGAAAUUCUUAGAUUCGUGAAAGACGGACUACUGCGAAAGCAUUUGCCAAGGAUGUUUUCAUUAAUCAAGAACGACAGUAGGGGGUUUGAAGACGAUUAGAUACCGUCGUAAUCUCUACCAUAAACUAUGCCGACUAGAGAUAGGAAAACGUCUCUUGGACUUCUCCUGCAUCUCAUGAGAAAUCAAAGUCUUUGGGUUCUGGGGGGAGUAUGGUCGCAAGGCUGGAACUUAAAGGAAUUGACGGAAGGGCACCACCAGGCGUGGAGCCUGCGGCUUAAUUUGACUCAACACGGGGAAUCUCACCAGGUCCAGACAUAAGGAGGAUUGACAGAUUGAUAGCUCUUUCUUGAUUUUAUGGGUGGUGGUGCAUGGCCGUUCUUAGUUGGUGGAGUGAUCUGUCUGGUUAAUUUCGUUAACGAACGAGACCUUAACCUGCUAAAUAGGGUCGUCAAGUAUAUAGAUAGAUAUUAUUAUUUAUUUAUUGACGUAUCACUUCUUAGAGGGACUUUGCGUGUCGAGCGCAAGGAGGUUUGAGGCAAUAACAGGUCUGUGAUGCCCUUAGAUGUUCUGGGCUGCACGCGCGCUACACUGACACAUCCAACGAGUUUAUAACCUUGGCCGACAGGUUUGGGUAAUCUUUUGAGUAUGUGUCGUGAUGGGGAUAGAUUAUUGCAAUUAUUAGUCUUCAACGAGGAAUGCCUAGUAGGCGCAGGUCAGCAGCCUGCGCCGAUUACGUCCCUGCCCUUUGUACACACCGCCCGUCGCUACAACCGAUUGGAGGGUCCUGUGAAUUCAUCGGACAUUUUUCUUUGCUGAAUUUUUUUUGACGAUAGAGAAGUAAAAGAUGUGUAAAUUGGGCUCUCUAGAGGAUGUACAAGUCGUAACAAGGUUUCCGUAG